ensembl:lncRNA
CAAGGAUAAGCUGAGACUCAGAACACUUUGCUGCUCUCUUGUGGUUAUUAGGUUAAUUAUUUUGUUUUGUUUAUUAUAAAGCUUUUCUGAUUAAAAUUCUGAAAGGGUGUGAAAUUUUGAAGAGCAUUUCCUAUGUGAGGCCACUGACAGGAAGUGUGAAUAUCGCCAACCACAGUGCAACAUGACAUGCAGAACUCGUUCACCCAUUGCAUUAACAGCUACUGCAAGGCUUUACCAAGUAGCAGAUAUCAGAAGGAUUUCAUUUUGAAUUCAGCAGAUGAGUGGAUAACAAUGGGUUUCAAUCAAUCUGAGGGUACUUCUCAUCCUCUCAGUUUCAGGUUUUUAACCAACUUUUCAAAAAUGGUCGUGUUGUCCAUCCUUUGGUGUUUUGUGUUUUUUCUGGCAUUCAGUAUCUGCUUGUUUUUAUUUUAUUUUCAGCAGAACAAAAAGCAAAAAUCACAACCGAAUGGAUAUGAGGUCACAGAAGAAGAUGUUUCUUUAAAUGAGAUCUCUGAAAAGAUGAAGAAAAGAGAAAAAAAUAAAAGUUACAAAGAGCGGGUAAACUCAGUGUACUAUGAGUGGUUUACGGAUCACUUACCACAUAGGAAACCAGGCAAUUCAGAUUGCACAGUAGAGUACAAAUAAAUGAACUAGUCUAAAACAUUGAACUCUGGUCUUGUUUCAGUCAUAAAAAAUGUCUUAAUAACGUAUUAUAGUGCAAACACCUUUUGUUUUCAUUGGUCACUAUAAGAGGGCCACAAGAAGGCCUAAAUCACUAAUUAAGUGAGAUUCAUAAACAACAAAAAAUUAAAAGUAUAGUUUACAAGUUAAAAAAUGAAAUUUCGUGUGUAAUUCCUAGCCUGUAGGACAUUUUUCUUAUGUGUUCUGUGUUUUCUACUUUGUUUUUAGUGUUUUAUGUCCAUGUUUUCACAUUUUGGGCGAACUAUUCCUGCACUGGACAGAUUCAAGUAGUUUAUGCACAUUAAAAUAUAAAUGUCUUCCACACUGAAUAUAUAUGUAUUUGAAUAUAUGAAGAGUUUAUUUGCAAAAACAGAUAACUCUUUUUUUAUUUUAUUUUUUUAAAAAUCAUGUUUUUUUUAAUUGUUUUCAUGUGUUUAUUUUGAUUUAUUUUUUAUUCUUGUUAUUUUUUGCCUAAUCAAAAUAAACUGACUGCAGUUUGAUUGAGAUGAAUUGGA